rnacentral:misc_RNA from 1 species
GAAAUGCGAUAAGUAAUGUGAAUUGCAGAAUUCAGUGAAUCAUCGAAUCUUUGAACUCACAUUGCGCCCGCCAGCACUCUGGCGGGCAUGCCUGUUCGAGCGUCAUUUCAACCCUCAGAACCCCUUGCGGGAUCUGGCGUUGGGGAUUGGCAUCCAGCCAGCCCCGAAAUCUAGUGGCGGUCCCUCCGCGACCUCCCCUGUGCAGUAGCGAUACCUCGCAGCGGGACAGCGGUCUGACCACGCCGUAAAACCCCCAACUUCUCAAGGUUGACCUCGAAUCAGGUAGGAAUAUCCGCUGAACUUAAGC